UUGUACUUUAGACUUGAAAAAGAAUAUAAUGAAGGGUCCACAGAACCCAGAUCUAUUAUUGCUUUAAUACGGAAUGGAACGACUUACAGUGGAACUCAGAUAAAUGAGCUUACCGAUUUAACCUACGAUGUAACUAGGCAAAGAGAAAUAGUGCGUUCGACAGCAUUGAUAGCUCCUCUCAUAAUAAAAAUUAAAAAGAGCAUAGAUACUGAAGAAAACUUUACGGCAACAUACAAAUUGAGAUAUGCUACUCCUAUAUAAAAUCUAAUUAAAUACUUAUUAUACUAACCAUAUUUUAUUCUUUGUCUAAAU